AAAAGAGCCAGUUGAUCGUUGGUUCUGCAUUCGAGUUUUUACAAGAUCGAUAGGAUACACAGCAGUGGCUCCAACAGCUCCAGCAACAGAACCCAGACCAAACCUGUAGGCCGACUCUGCAACUUGUAGAAGAACUGGUCGAGCUGAAUCACCUGAGGCCUUCUGCCUCUGGGCCUCAGCCAAGUUAAAGGGCAGAGUUCCCUCUUCCAGAGGAGCAAUCCGUUCAAUGUCUGCUAAGGUCAUACGUCCCCUUGGCUCAUAUAAAUCUGCUAACUGAAACAAGAUGUCAA
rnacentral:misc_RNA from 1 species